rnacentral:rRNA from 1 species
CAGCAGGCGCGAAAACUUUACAAUGCCGGCAACGGCGAUAAGGGAACCUCGAGUGCCAGGUUACAAAUCUGGCUGUCGUGAUGCCUAAAAAGCAUUGCAUAGCAAGGGCCGGGCAAGACCGGUGCCAGCCGCCGCGGUAACACCGGCGGCUCGAGUGGUAACCGUUAUUAUUGGGUCUAAAGGGUCUGUAGCCCGCCGGGUAAGUCUCUUGGGAAAUCUGGCAGCUUAACUGUCAGGCUUUCAGGAGAUACUGCCUGGCUCGAGGCCGGGAGAGGUGAGAGGUACUUCAGGGGUAGGGGUGAAAUCUUGUAAUCCUUGAAGGACCACCAGUGGCGAAGGCGUCUCACCAGAACGGACCUGACGGCAAGGGACGAAAGCUAGGGGCACGAACCGGAUUAGAUACCCGGGUAGUCCUAGCCGUAAACGAUACUCGCUAGGUGUCGGCCACGGUGCGACCGUGGUCGGUGCCGUAGGGAAGCCGUGAAGCGAGCCACCUGGGAAGUACGGCCGCAAGGCUGAAACUUAAAGGAAUUGGCGGGGGAGCACAAGGGCGAUUCGC